ensembl:lncRNA novel transcript
GGAGAGCUGGACAUGUGGAGGCCGACAGGAAGGUGAAGAAGUCAUCUGCGUGCUGUGAGGGUGGCGCACCCCAACUCCAUGGGGACAGAAGGUCCUGCAUUUAGGACCCUUCCAGACCUCACACCUAUGUAUCUCUUCAUCUGGCUGAUUACUUAUAUCCUUUCAAAGACGCUUCUUAGUAAACUGGACCACCUGAUAGGGUACUGAGGAUGGCUUCUGACCUGGAGGCAUCAAGGACCUGAAGGCAGUAACCAUUUCAGAGGACAGCCACAUCCCUCAAAUUACAAACAUCUAAAAUGUCCAUUAACUGUUGAGUGGAUAUAUAAAUUCUGAUGUUUUAUAAAAUGGCAUACCCUACAUCAAUGAAGAUGAAUGAAUUACUUCUGCAUAAAACAAUAUACAUGCAUCUAACCAAUAUGACACUGAGUGAAAAAAGACAUCCAUAGAAGAGCACAGCUCACCAUUCAGGAGCAUCACCCUGGUCCAAGCCACCUUCAGCUCUCACCUAGACUAACACAGUUCUUCCUGUCUCCAUGAGCCUCCUCUCCAGUUGCUGUAUUGCAAAUAACAAUCAAAACAGCAUUUAAAAGCAAAACAACAACAGCAAACAAAUGAUAAACCUUCUACCUCCCCAAGUUUCUAAAGGCACACAUCUCUUUGGGAUUUAACAGAGCAUCAUCACUUAGCCAAGCAAACUGCAUGCUAAACAGAUCCAGCUGAAUAAAUUGGACCACUUGAUUUUU